UCGAGAAUUUUUCACAAUGGGCGCAAGCCUGAUGGAGCGACGCCGCGUGGGGGAUGAAUGGCUUCGGCCCGUAAACCCCUGUCAUUUGCGAUCAACCGUUGUUGUUUAAGAGAUGACAACCUGAGAGUAGCGAAAGAGGAAGGGACGGCUAACUCUGUGCCAGCAGCCGCGGUAAUACAGAGGUCCCAAGCGUUGUGCGGAUUCACUGGGCGUAAAGGGUGCGUAGGUGGCAAGGUAAGUCGGAUGUGAAAUCUCCGAGCUCAACUCGGAAAUGGCAGUGGAAACUGCUGUGCUUGAGGGUUGGAGGGGGGACUGGAAUACUUGGUGUAGCAGUGAAAUGCGUAGAUAUCAAGUGGAACACCAGUGGCGAAGGCGAGUCCCUGGACAACUCCUGACACUGAGGCACGAAAGCUAGGGGAGCAAACA
rnacentral:rRNA from 1 species